AUAUAUAAUAUAUAUAAUAUUGAGAGGGCUGACCAAAAGAAUUACAAAAAAUCCUCGAAAUUUCUAUGAAAAGGAGAGUCAAGCGCCCUGCGCGUUUUUCUUUUUAUAUUUUAGAAACUUAAUUCGUUUCUUUGAAAGUUUCAUGUCUCUGCAGCUGUCUUAAUUCAUCGCUUUCAAAGUUUCUUUGAAAGUUUUAUCUCUCUCCAGCUGUCCUUUGGUUCAUAUUACGCAAUUUUUGUCUUCUCUUUCUUCGUCUAUAUAUAUAUAUAUAUAUAAAAUGUAAUGUCUAACCCAGAAAUAUUCCUGCUAUCAAUCUGCAAUCUCUCCUAUCCCACCCCCAAAAAAAAAAAAAAAAAAAAAAAAAAGGAAUAUCUACCAUGUGUCUCUCUUAUGCCUACAUUGCUGCAUUUAAAUACAACCAGCCAAUGAUGCAGCAAAUUAAGAGUCUUCAGAGAGCAUAAAUUUUUAAGAAUAUUGGGCCAUCUUACAAUUGUUGGAGGGUUGCUAUGCCAAGAAUUUGGCCCGGGUCCAAGAGCAGAGUUACCUUGCCAGAGGUUUUUUUUGUUUUGUUUUGUUUUUUUUUUUUUUUUUUUUUUUUUCCUUGACAUGGUUCGUUUUAUACCGUUGUUGGUUUUUUAUUUUUUAUUUUUUUAAAUUAAAAUUUGGAAUAGUUGUACUUUAAUUCUAUUUUGGGAUGAUUAUGUUUUCGAUGCUCAUUUUCAAAAUAAUGCAAUUUAGACGAUAUGUUUUUCAGGAAA